rnacentral:rRNA from 1 species
CCUACGGGGGGCUGCAGUAAGGAAUAUUGGUCAAUGGAGGAAACUCUGAACCAGCCAUCCCGCGUGAAGGAUGAAGGGGCUCUGCCUUGUAAACUUCUUUUGUCUGGGGCGAAAAAGCUCGAUUUAUCGAGAACUGACGGUACCAGAAGAAUAAGCACCGGCUAACUCCGUGCCAGCAGCCGCGGUAAUACGGAGGGUGCAAGGGUUAUCCGGAAUCAAUGGGGUGCGUGGGUGCGUUGGCAGCUCAGUGGUGAAAGGCUGUGGCUUAACCAUGGAAUUGCCAUGGAUACUGCAGAGCUUGAAUGAGGUUGAGGUUGGCGGAAUGUGACAUGUAGCGGUGAAAUGCUUAGAUAUGUCAUGGAACACCGAUUGCGAAGGCAGCUGACUGGACCUAUAUUGACGCUGAGGCACGAAAGCGUGGGGAGCGAACAGGAUUAUACCCUUGUAGUC